rnacentral:rRNA from 1 species
AUACGUAGGACCCGAGCGUUGUCCGGAUUUACUGGGUAUAAAGGGUGCGUAGGCGGCCUUGUGCGUCAGAGGUGAAAUAUCCGGGCUUAACCCGGAGGGUGCCUUUGAUACGGCAGGGCUUGAGUGCGAGAGAGGAUGAUGGAAUUCCUGGUGUAGCGGUGAAAUGCGUAGAUAUCAGGAGGAACACCGGUGGCGAAGGCGGUCAUCUGGCUCGUAACUGACGCUCAGACGCGAAAGCAUGGGGAGC